CAGCAGCCGCGGUAAUACAGAGGGUGCGAGCGUUAAUCGGAUUUACUGGGCGUAAAGCGUGCGUAGGCGGCUUUUUAAGUCGGAUGUGAAAUCCCUGAGCUUAACUUAGGAAUUGCAUUCGAUACUGGGAAGCUAGAGUAUGGGAGAGGAUGGUAGAAUUCCAGGUGUAGCGGUGAAAUGCGUAGAGAUCUGGAGGAAUACCGAUGGCGAAGGCAGCCAUCUGGCCUAAUACUGACGCUGAGGUACGAAAGCAUGGGGAGCAAACAGGAUUAGAUACUCCAGUAGUCCCUGUCUCUUAUAC
rnacentral:rRNA from 1 species